UCGCUACUACCGAUUGGAUGGCUUAGUGAGUUUGAGGGAUCGUGCCCCAGGGUUGGCUUGUCCUUCUUUGAGGUGUGAGAACUUAAACAAACUUGAUCAUCUAGAGGAAGUAA
rnacentral:rRNA from 1 species